UACGAAGGGGGCUAGCGUUGCUCGGAAUCACUGGGCGUAAAAGCGCACGUAGGCGGCUUUCUAAGUCGGGGGUGAAAUCCUGGAGCUCAACUCCCAGAACUGCCUUUGAUACUGGAGAGCUUGAGUCCGGAAGAGGUGAGUGGAACUCCGAGUGUAGAGGUGAAAUUCGUAGAUAUUCGGAAGAACACCAGUGGCGAAGGCGGCUCACUUGGCCGGUACUGACGCUGAUGUGCGAAAGCGUGGGGAGCAACAGG
rnacentral:rRNA from 1 species